UACGGAGGGUGCAAGCGUUAUCCGGAUUCACUGGGUUUAAAGGGUGCGUAGGUGGGCAGGUAAGUCAGUGGUGAAAUCUCCGGGCUUAACCCGGAAACUGCCAUUGAUACUAUCUGUCUUGAAUACCGUGGAGGUGAGCGGAAUGUGUCAUGUAGCGGUGAAAUGCUUAGAUAUGACAUAGAACACCAAUUGCGAAGGCAGCUCGCUACACAUAUAUUGACUCUGAGGCACGAAAGCGUGGGGAUCAAACAGG
rnacentral:rRNA from 1 species